rnacentral:misc_RNA from 1 species
UUUCCGUAGGUGAACCUGCGGAAGGAUCAUUAUUGUAUAACCGAGGUGCGAGGGCUGUCGCUGACCCGAAAGGUCGUGCACGCCCGAGUGCCCUCACACACAUCCAUCUCACCCCUAUGUGCACCACCGCGUGGGUCCCCCUUUGGCUUGUUCGGAGGUGGGCUACGUUUUCACACAAACUUUGUAUGCAGUGUAGAAUGUAUUUUUUGUUUUUGCGAUCACGCAAUCAAUACAACUUUCAACAACGGAUCUCUUGGCUCUC